AUUGAACGCUGGCGGCAGGCCUAACACAUGCAAGUCGAGCGAGCGGCGGACGGGUGAGUAAUGUCUGGGAAACUGCCUGAUGGAGGGGGAUAACUACUGGAAACGGUAGCUAAUACCGCAUACCAUCAGAUUUCCACAGAUGGGAUUAGCUGGUAGGUGGGGUAACGGCUCACCUUGGCGACGAUCCCUAGCUGGUCUGAGAGGUUGACCGACCACACUGGAACUGAGACACGGUCCAGACUCCUCCGGGAGGCAGCAGUGGGGAAUAUGGCGCAAUGGGCGCAAGCCUGAUGCAGCCAUGCCGCGUGAGUGAAGAAGGCCUUCGGGUUGUAAAGCACUUUCAGCGGGGAGGCGUUACCCGAAGAAGAAGCACCGGCUAACUCCGUGCCAGCAGCCGCGGUAAUAC
rnacentral:rRNA from 1 species